rnacentral:rRNA from 1 species
GAUGAACGCUGGCGGCGUGCCUAAUACAUGCAAGUCGAGCGAACGGACGAGAAGCUUGCUUCUCUGAUGUUAGCGGCGGACGGGUGAGUAACACGUGGAUAACCUACCUAUAAGACUGGGAUAACUUCGGGAAACCGGAGCUAAUACCGGAUGAUAUUUUGAACCGCAUGGUUCAAAAGUGAAGGACGGUCUUGCUGUCACUUAUAGAUGGAUCCGCGCUGCAUUAGCUAGUUGGUAAGGUAACGGCUUACCAAGGCAACGAUGCAUAGCCGACCUGAGAGGGUGAUCGGCCACACUGGAACUGAGACACGGUCCAGACUCCUACGGGAGGCAGCAGUAGGGAAUCUUCCGCAAUGGGCGAAAGCCUGACGGAGCAACGCCGCGUGAGUGAUGAAGGUCUUCGGAUCGUAAAACUCUGUUAUUAGGGAAGAACAUAUGUGUAAGUAACUGUGCACAUCUUGACGGUACCUAAUCAGAAAGCCACGGCUAACUACGUGC